rnacentral:rRNA from 1 species
UACGUAGGGUGCAAGCGUUAAUCGGAAUUACUGGGCGUAAAGCGUGCGCAGGCGGUUUUGUAAGUCUGUCGUGAAAUCCCCGGGCUCAACCUGGGAAUUGCGAUGGAGACUGCAAGGCUAGAAUCUGGCAGAGGGGGGGUAGAAUUCCACGUGUAGCAGUGAAAUGCGUAGAGAUGUGGAGGAACACCGAUGGCGAAGGCAGCCCCCCUGGGUCAAGAUUGACGCUCAUGCACGAAAGCGUGGGGAGCAAACGAGG